CUGUACAUUGUCUUUACCAAGUGUUGGUGACCUGUUUCUAGCCUACAAAAGUAGUGCAUAAAUUUUGUUGACACCUUGCAGUUUAUCACAAGAAUAAGGCCAGCUUAGUUGCUUUUUUGGUGGACAAAACCCAAGCCUGUUCUGUUAAAACCAAGAAGAAAAGUAAUUGCUUUAGUAUUACUUCAUGUAGCUCACUGCUGCAAAGCAAGGGAGAAAAAGGAAGCCUCCAAAGGUGCUGUUCUUACGAGGUCCCAGCUGGACUUGUUCCUGGCUUCCCCCUCAUCCAGCUGAAUGAGAGUGGUGGGUGAGGGGUAGUGCUGUCUGUCCUUUGUUGGCCACAUUCCAUGGAGGAUACCGCUCAAGGAGUGUCUUGGAAAUGAGGACAGAGUUGUGUGCAGCAGAAAACCAGAGCAUGAGUUUGUUGUUCCCUUGGGUAAAUUGGAGGCAAUUUCUGUGCAGUUACCAAACGGGAUGCUUUAAAGGCUUCUCAGUAUUCCUUAGGCUAUAAAAUGUAAACACAACUGAGGAAGUUAUCAGUGUUAUCAAUUUCAAAUGGAAAGUGAGGACUGCUGAACUGAUACGUCAUGCGCAAAGUACCAGGACCCUUUUGGACAAAGCAAGUAUGACUUGGACCUUGCAUGUGACUUGAACUGGGCAUUGCUUCAACUGCAUUUGAUAAUUAUAACAAGAUGGAAACAACUGCUGUUAAUGAGGUGCAUGGGGAAAAUUAACAAUUUAGAAAACACCGAGACUGCACUACUGUACUUCCUACACUAGAAUGCGUGAGAUAAUGAUGUAAGGAGAGUUCAUGAGAGAUUUCCACAUAAUGAGAUCCUGAAUUAAAUUUUAGAUGGUGAGAAGUGCAUUAAGAUUAAAUACACAACAAAUAGAUCAGAAUAAGGCUAUGUGUUGGUGAUGAGUCCUUUCACAGUUUUCUUUUCUUUUUCAUUUGAGAAAGAGGGAGAAUGAGCAACCCACUAGUCAUGGUUACAGCAUCACAUAAACAGGUUGGUUGUCUGUUAUAAUUAUUUCUAGAUAUGCAAUUAUUGUGGAGCAGAUGUACUUACAUACCCUGUAAGCUCAGAAUUCCUUGAAAAUUUUUACAGACUGCAUGUGUUGAUGUUCAUCAUUGACUUGAGCUAAUUUUCUCUAAAAUGAGUUAUUCUAGAUAUAAUAUACUAACAUGUGUUACAUCUGUGGUUGCAGAGACAUCAAGAGAAGAAGUGUGGCGUUUUGACAUCCUGUUAAAAUGGUCUAAAUGAAAAUAAAAGAAGAUUCUGCUUUGUAGGGCUACUGCAAGGUUUGGGGGGAAAUAAAGUAUAAAUCUCUGUCUGAUAACUGUGUAGAUUGAUUCUGUCUUAAUUGUGUCUGUGUCACCAUGCACCAUUUCUGGAUGCGGUUAAGCAACAAUAUUUUUCAGGAUACUUAGCGUAUAUCAGUUUGGAAACAUGGUACUAGUGGGGAUCUGGGGAGAAAGGGGCAAGUGCUGUGCUCAUGAUUUCUUAGAAGUAUGUAUUAUUUAUUGACCUAGUGUGGAAGGUGUGCUUUUAAAAGGGGUGAAAGGAAGAGAGACAGGAGCAUGGCAGGUGAGGCCAUGGGGUGAUAGAGGGUGCAUGGCUUUUUUGUGGGCAAGCAGCAACUUUGUUGUAGAAGGCAAAAUUAACACAGACCUAUCUGUUGAGUUAUAUAUCAUUCUAUACUUAUGCACAGUCAUGUCUAGUAGCUCUUAAUUACACUCGAGCAGCCUGCCAGAAUUGUUUUCCCAAGGCAGAGUAAUUAUCCAUAAUGGCAUCCGUCUUCAGCAAAGAAAAGUUAAUGUAUUUAGUUGUCUUGUGCUGCACGGAAGCAGCAAAGCCUCAGAUAGUGAACGUAUGUGCUAGGAAAGAUGUGCGUAUGCAGUGAAUGAAAGUAACUUGUAUUUUACCUCCCUGUUAAGUCUCACUCUAUUAGGUGUGCAAGAUGAUGGAAACUACAGUCUGGGAACAUCUUCAUCUCUCUCUCUUUGUAGUUGGAAUCUCUGGUACUUCAUGAUGAAGGGAGGGUAACAGUUCCAAGAAUAUGGAAGAGAAAACUCUGUCGCUGUCCUUAAAGGUCUAAAUAUUGAGUAAGCUGGAGAGUUCAGCUAGAUGAAAGGCAGUCAGUUGAACUUUUAUAUUCUGUAUUACUAGACAAAACUUUAGGUUGUUGCAUUGAGUUGAAAGACAACUUUGUUGAGGUAGAAAGUUAAAAUUAUCACCAAUGUUCCAUAUUACUUCUUCCAGUUAGAGAGAAGCUGAUAGAGAAAUCUGAAGCAAUCUGAAGCCCCGUGAUUCAAAAUAACUGUGCCACUUCCUAUGUGUGAUACUUGGCUCUGUUCAUUGGUAUCACAUUCUUUUUGUAGUAGAAAGGAUGGAUUUACUCGGAAGACCUAUUUAUUAAAUGUCAAACUACUAUGACUUUAUUAGCUGAAAGAAAUCCUGCAGAGCUUGGAAUUAGUCAGAGAUGCUACCCAGAAACCUGUGACACUGACCCAGAAUAAGAGAAUUACUUAUUAAUAAAAUACAGAUCUCAUUUCUGCAUGUGCUGGGUUCCUGUUAUCUGACACUACAAGGAUAGACAGGUUCUUUAUGGGAUGCUGGGCAGAAUGAUGACAGCACUAUGCUGAAGUGACACUUAAAGCUUUUAUUUUUUAAUAGAAUUUUUAAAAAAUUCCUUCUUCCUUCCUUCUCUCCUUUUCCCCUUUUCCGUAAACUUCUCACACACAAUCUGGAAAUGGGGUCAGAAAACAGGGUCUUCUGCUUCUGGGACUAUGAAACAAAGAAAUGCUGCAUUUUUGGUCUCAGAAAAGGGAAGGUGAGUCAUCUUGGUCAAAAAACAAAGGCAGCCUUUUGUUUUAUGUGGUGGAAGGAAGCAGAGAUAAGCCAGAUGGGUGGGAGUAGAUGGAAUGGGCUGCAGACCCUUGCUGGAGGUGCUGAAAUCAGGGACCUUGGUAUGCUCCAGGGCAAAGUUCACACAGAGAUAGGCUCUCAAAAGAACCAUUUUGCCCAGAAACUGAAAGUCAUUUUCACCUCUAUUUGGUGUUAGCAAUGCUCGGGAUAGUUGAUGAAUACAAAUUAUUCAGUCACAACUAUGGCGUUUCAUGUGAAGAAAGUCCUGUGUGGGUAAUUCCAUGUGCUGCUGAGGGAGUUGCACAAAUAGGGAAAGAAACAUUGGUUGAGGUCAGGGACACUGGAGAUACCGUACUUCAGAUCCUUUCAAUUUAGAGAGAUGGAGAUUUCAGAGUACCAAUUUUGAAGCUUUGUUGGUUGAUGUUUUGGAAGGGGUUAUAAUAAUGUUCAUCAUUUAAAGAGAAGGUUCAGUCUGAAGCAGAAGUCUUGAACCAUUAAAAAUAAUUAAAAUGUUGUGCCAUUGCAAGAGGACAUUGUUACAUGGAGGCUUGUUCUGUAAAAGACUACUAAAACAAGAUAACUGAAUUCUGCAAAUAGACAUGUAGAAAAUGAUAUCUCUAAAGCAGCACAGGGUGACAAAAGGUGCAGUGUUUGUGGGGUAAAAUUUUCACACCUACUCAUUACAUCUCUAAUCUAACUUGGACAAAUUAUCCGGUACUCCCACUACAUAUUUCGUUUCUUCUGCCACAACCGUGUUUGUAUGGGACUACUCAGAGUAAAUCAUAUUCACCCUGUCUGCAUAUCUAGCAUAACCAUGUUCAUUUAAAAGUGUUACUGGACUGUUUUCUACAAAGACAAUGGUAUUUUAUUGAUAAAGUACUCCAGCAUCUUACAAACAGAUAAUAAUAAUCCUUUUUUAUACCAUCCAAGUUUGUUUAGACUGUAGAAAGCUUUUCAUUCUUUCCAUCUCCCUGUUAACUGGAAGACAGUGCUCAGUCUCAUGUGGCAAUGUUUUUCCUUGUGUUAACAGCAAAACUCACCAAGUUUUGGUAUCAUUAUCUUACCAGCCUACAUUCUCUCCCACAAGACUAAGAGGAAGACCCAUUUUCUUUCCCAAAUGAAGGCCCAGCUUUUGGGCUAUGUUCCUUAUGGUUUGCAAAAUGCUAAGUCCCCUAUGUAUGCAUACUUUUGCUCAGCAUUUUGAGGGGAUGAUAAAGUCUUUCAGGAGGAGUUUGGAAGCUUAUUAUAAGAACAUGGCAUACAUUAAAUGAUGUGCAACUUUGUCAUGGUUUUGUGAUUUUCGGUUAUUGGUAUUCCACAUCAUAACAUCAUGUAGUGGACAUACCUAGUUCUCAGAA